UGGUUUGAUCAUGGCUCAGAUUGAACGCUGGCGGGAUGCUUUACACAUGCAAGUCGAACGGCAGCACGGACUUCGGUCUGGUGGCGAGUGGCGAACGGGUGAGUAAUGUAUCGGAACGUGCCUAGUAGCGGGGGAUAACUACGCGAAAGCGUAGCUAAUACCGCAUACGCCCUUCGGGGGAAAGCGGGGACCUUCGGGCCUCGCACUAUUAGAGCGGCCGAUAUCGGAUUAGCUAGUUGGUGGGGUAACGGCUCACCAAGCGGCGACGAUCCGUAGCUGGUUUGAGAGGACGACCAGCCACACUGGGACUGAGACACGGCCCAGUACGGGAGGCAGCAGUGGGGAAUUUUGGACAAUGGGGAAACCCUGAUCCAGCCAUCCCGCGUGUGCGAUGAAGGCCUUCGGGUUGUAAAGCACUUUUGGCAGGAAAGAAACGGCACGGGAUAUACCCCGUGCAACUGACGGUACCUGCAGAAUAAGCACCGGCUAACUACGUGCCAGCAGCCGCGGUAAUACGUAGGGUGCAAGCGUUAAUCGGAAUUACUGGGCGUAAAGCGUGCACAGGCGGUUCGGAAAGAAAGAUGUGAAAUCCCAGAGCUUAACUUUGGAACUGCAUUUUUAACUACCGAGCUAGAGUGUGGGGCCGAGGGAGGUGGAAUUCCGCGUGUAGCAGUGAAAUGCGUAGAUAUGCGGAGGAACACCGAUGGCGAAGGCAGCCUCCCGGGAUAACACUGACGCUCAUGCACGAAAGCGUGGGGAGCAAACAGGAUUAGAUACCCUGGUAGUCCACGCCCUAAACGAUGUCAACUAGGCUGUUGGGGCCCUCGGGCCUUGUAUGCAGCUAACGCGUGAAGUUGACCGCCUGGGGAGUACGGUCGCAAGAUUAAAACUCAAAGGAAUUGACGGGGACCCGCACAAGCGGUGGAUGACGUGGAUUAAUUCGAUGCAACGCGAAAAACCUUACCUACCCUUGACAUGUCUGAAUCCCGAAGAGAUUUGGGAGUGCUCGCAAGAGAACCGGAACACAGGUGCUGCAUGGCUGUCGUCAGCUCGUGUCGUGAGAUGUUGGGUUAAGUCCCGCAACGAGCGCAACCCUUGUCAUUAGUUGCUACGAAAGGGCACUCUAAUGAGACUGCCGGUGACAAACCGGAGGAAGGUGGGGAUGACGUCAAGUCCUCAUGGCCCUUAUGGGUAGGGCUUCACACGUCAUACAAUGGUCGGGACAGUGGUCGCCAACCCGCGAGGGGGAGCCAACCCAGAAACCCGAUCGUGGUCCGGAUCGCAGUCUGCAACUCGACUGCGUGAAGUCGGAAUCGCUAGUAAUCGCGGAUCAGCAUGUCGCGGUGAAUACGUUCCGGGUCUUGUACACACCGCCCGUCACACCAUGGGAGUGGGUUUUACCAGAAGUAGUUAGCUCAACCGUAAGGGGAGGGCGAUUACCACGGUAGGAUUCAUGACUGGGGUGAAGUCGUAACAAGGUAA
rnacentral:rRNA from 1 species